UAAUGAUUGGUCUGGUGAUUCUCCUGUUUGGUAUUGCAUCUUCAGUUAAUGCAGCAUCCAUCUUUGUCUUUAGUGGUAUUCCUUACUGGGGAUCUUUCAGCUACAUUGCCGCAGGCUCACUCUGCAUUGCUGCAGAAAACAAACUUAGUUAGCCCUACAGUUUGUGUUUGGUAAAAGGUUCACUUGGAAUGAACAUUUUCAGUACUUUAACAGCAAGCAUUUCGAUUAUUGUAAUUUCAAUGGAUUUGGGUCUAGGGCCAUUGAACCCUUAUUGUGGCAGUUAUGACUGUAAUGAAUUUGAUAACAAUUAUAUGGUAUGCUAUCAACUUUUCUAUUCACUUUUAUAUAGUAGUUAUUAUAUAAUCACUGUGUGGUCAGUACACUUUUCA